rnacentral:rRNA from 1 species
CAGCAGCCACGGGAAUACGUAGGGUGCAAGCGUUAAUCGGAAUUACUGGGCGUAAAGCGUGCGCAGGCGGUUAUAUAAGUCAGAUGUGAAAUCCCCGGGCUCAACCUGGGAACUGCAUUUGAGACUGUAUGGCUAGAGUGUGUCAGAGGGGGGUGGAAUUCCACGUGUAGCAGUGAAAUGCGUAGAGAUGUGGAGGAAUACCGAUGGCGAAGGCAGCCCCCUGGGCCAAUACUGACGCUCAUGCACGAAAGCGUGGGGAGCAAACAGGAUUAGAUACCCCUGUAGUCCCUGUCUCUUAUAC